AAGUUACUUGGAAUUCUCUCUGUUCAGGGACCCCAGCAGCAGGCUGGGGUGCAUAUCCUGGUAUAACAGGACUGUGCACACAUCUAUUUCAGAGCUGAAGAAGAGACUGCAGUGAUGCAUGGAAGCCAGCUCCUGUCUCUACAAGUUCAGGAAGAUCCAACUGAGGUCACUGACUUGGCUCACCGUUCCAGUCUUGUGCAUCUUUUUCACAGUUUGCUUUGCAUGCUCUGCCCCAAAUACAAUGAAGGAAACUGGAAGUUGAGGACAGAAAAAUUCUGAGAUGCCUGGGAAACCUGCCAAGCACAGAGGCUCCCAAAUGUUUCUCUUGCACAGAAACACUUGAUACAUAGGAAUAACCAAGACUGAAUUCCCAACGGCUACACGGUCAAGACAAAAUGUCCAAAACGAAAUGUCCCCUGAAUAAAAAAAAUUUUUGAGUCAGA